UUUAAAAUUACAACAAAAUAGACA
rnacentral:snRNA from 1 species